rnacentral:rRNA from 1 species
UACGGAGGGGGCGAGCGUUAUUCGGAAUUAUUGGGCGUAAAGGGCGCGUAGGCGGCUUGGCAAGUCAAAGGUGAAAUCCCUCGGCUCAACUGAGGAACUGCCUUUGAAACUGCCUGGCUUGAGGCCGGGAGGGGGUAGCGGAAUUCCCAGUGUAGCGGUGAAAUGCGUAGAUAUUGGGAGGAACACCGGUGGCGAAGGCGGCUUCCUGGACCGACACUGACGCUGAGGCGCGAAAGCUAGGGGAGCAAACGGG